GUCAGCGAGGGUGUGGAGCAAAAGGAAUCCUCCUACACUGUUGAUGGGAAUGUGGACUGGCCCAGGCCCUCUGGAAACAGUAUGGAGUUUCCUCAAAGUAUUUAAAAAAGAUCUAUAACAUAUCCCAGAAAUUCCAUUCUGGGGUAGAAAUUCCAUUCUACCCAAAGAAUACAAAAAAAGCUAGUUCAAAGGGAUAAAUGCACUCUUCUGUUCAAUGCAGCACUGUUUACCAUAUGUCAAGUUAUGAAAACAAGCCGAGUGUCCAAUUACAGAGGUGCAGCACCAAAGAAGGGAGAUGUGCAUCCGGCUUUUCUCACUGAUACCUGCAACUCACUUCAAGCACAGAUGAGUCAACUCCUCUUGCCUUCCUCUGCUUUGAUGUUAAGGCCCAGGCUAUAUGACCAAAGUCAGAAUUGUGAGCAAAAUUCUCUGGUAGACUUGGUGUCUUCAGCGGCGCUCACUGGGGAGAGGAGCCCAGAAUAAAGCAAUGCAUCCAAAAGAGAAUGUGUUUAAAUCUGAACUUUUGUCUUUUUUCAAAUGAAAAGGGAACGUUAUCUCCAACAUGAGGAAUGAGGAACAAUUGUAUAUAAGCACAUUCAAGAAAGAAUUAACACCAAGCAUUGGAAUAUUAUCAUUUUCAAAAAAAAAAGAAUGAAAUCACUGUAUUUGUAGAGAAAAGUCAACAAGUGCCAAGGGCUGAAGAAAAUUCUGUGAGAAAAGAAAUACCGAGGCUGGGCCUCCCCGGUGGUGCAGCGGUUGAGCGCUGGGCUGCGAAGCUGCCUGCAGUCUUUGCAGCGCUGGUUCGAUCCCUGGACGCCAGUGAGGGUCCCACAUGGUGCACAGACCUCUCCUGCCGCCCGCUGCUCCCCUCAGCAGUGUACUUUGUCAGUCUGCCUGCUCUGUUCCCCGCUCUGGCUCUGGUGAAUUCUCUCACCCUCCUGCGCUUCUGACUGUACC